AAUACAAGCUGUCUUAUCGCCGUUUGCCUUUUGGCUCAGGGAGGAAAGUCCGGGCAACACAGAGCAUCUUACUACCUAACGGGUAGGCUGUUGUUUAGAAAUGAACAAUGGACAGACAGGGCCGCAGAAAAUAACCGCCUCGCUUCGGCGCGGUAAGGGUGAAAAAGUGAGGUAAGAGCUCACUCGUCGUGUAGUGAUACAGGAUUGGGGUAAACCUUAGGAGUUGAAAGACCAAAUAGGUUCCGACUAUGGUGCUGCUCGUACCAAAUAGCACGCAAGUGUUAUUAAUCGGAAUGGGUAGGUCGUUUGAGCCUUGUAGUGAUGCAAGGUCUAGAUAAAUGAUAAGAAUCACGCUAAGGCGCGAAACAGAACCCGGCUUACAGGCUUGUAUUGCUU
rnacentral:RNase_P_RNA from 1 species